CCAUGUUCCCUUCCACCUAGAUUGAAAUAUUUUUGUUAAUGCCCAUGGGAGAAAAUGGAUUCUCUUGCAAUCUCAAACACACACUUUAUAUCAUGUCAUUUAGAAGUGUGGUAAUGCUUUUAACCACCUGGAUGUCAGUUCCUGAGCCUUCUUUGAGAUGAAGACAAAAGAUAGCCACUUUUAAAUUUUUCUUCUUUAUAUAGCUCAAGCAAUAUGCAUGUCAGACUCAUGUGAAUUGUCAGAACCGCCCCAGCUCUGUGUUAGGACGGUAAGUGUCUUUUCAAUCUUGGAGAAAGCAGUCGAUGGCACACAGAAUACAAGGAGCCCCUGACUCUAACAACUUACACUGCUGACAGCCCUGUGUUUGUAUCUUCUCCUCCUUUGUUUGCAGUGGUUUCAGGUCAGAAAGCACAGAAGCUCUCAGCCCUGUGACUCUAACAAUCGGUGCAGCUCCAGCCCGGUUGGUCUUUGACAUCAAUGUGCAACAAUCAAGUUCUCUAUUUCUACCCUGACUAUGUCACACGAGAGAGCCUGACCUGGGUGGGGUGAUAUGAGGAAACUGGAUACCUUCCCAGACACUCAUGCGUCAGGUGUCUGCAGCCCCAAUUCUUUUGUUCGAAGAGAAUUUCCUGGAACAUCACCCGUUGUCUGUUAUCAAUGCAAUAACACAUCCAUUGCCAAGAGGUGUCCUUUGGGGCCACACCAGUAGACAUACAGGCAUCCUCCUCUUCAGGAAGGGAUUAUGGUCUGCAGACAGGAGGCAGGGGGUCCUCUUUACAGCAUCUCUGGGGCAAUGGUGGGAGUCUGAAUGUUAGUCUAAGAGUACUCAGUGUAGAAAUGGGCUGAGGUCGGGGUCUUCAUUUUUGAAAGACGCUCUAUCAGCAACGUGGUUGAGAGAACAGAGAGACUGACAGGCCAAGGGAGAUAGCGGGUCACUCUCACAUACUUCCUGUACCCCAACUGUGUGGGCCAGAGGCACCAGAGACAGAGUCUGCUGCUGUCCUCCUGGAGCUGAUGGGGGUGAAGAAUAUAAACAGAACCACGGGAAGAUCUUUCCCUGCAGUGGUAAGUGCCAUGCAGAAAAUAAAACUGGGUGCCGUGGUAACUCCUGACCAGGACGUGGGGGAUGGUCACUUGUUCUAAUGUGUUGGAGGAAGGGUCUUUCUGAGGAAAUGGCGUUUGUGCUGAGUGGGGAUAUAUGAAGCAUAUGAAAGGGGAAGUAGGGACCAGGGGCCUUCUGUACUUAAGGAAGCAGCUGCGCACAGGACUUGGGGAAGGAAUGGGUUGGGCAUGGGGCUAGGGAUCCCUAAACAACGGUAGAGGGGCAAGCAAAGUCAGCCCUACAGGUCAUCCUGUCCACACUCAGGAGUUGGGUUUCAUACUGAGGGAGUGAGAAACCACAUGGGGUUUGAGCAGAGAGGCCAAUGAGGAAGCAAGAAGCCCAACAAAAUAAAUGUCGUGGACCCUAUCCAGCACCACACGCUUCUGUAAAUAGAUGUGCCCAGUCGUUUACAUGUUAUCUAUGGCUGCUUACAUAACCAUAAGAGCACCAUUGAGCACUAACACCAAAACCCACCUUCUCUGUGCAGCGUCAAUUCUUUUCCUACUUCCUGGCCCUUCAUAAGAAAUUCUUGGUUCCUAAUCUAAAUGGUGUCUUCCAAAGUUGGCUGUGCCUGCUGUUUGGGGUCAUGUCAUAUUGCAGCAUCAUGGAGGGGAGUGAGCAGGUCACUGCAGGACAGGACCUUGGGAUGAGCGGUCCAGAGCAUCAGUGCCUGCUAGGGAUGUUCUCCCAGCAUCAGAGGCAUGGAGGCCAGGCUGGGCCUGUCAGGCUCAUCUCUCUGGGUAUGUACUUACUGCUGCUAAUACCAGAGGCUGCCCAGGCAGGCAGACUCUGCUUCACUCCAUCAGAGUUUAACUGUUGAUCACAGAACCCCCCAGCCAAGCCAUCACUGCCUGUCCUUUGUCUUCGGCACCUCAUCACCAAUUUGGGGCUUGGGAGUCGACAUGGGCCAAGCAGCUGUUUCCCAUUACCUGUCUGUCCCUCAUGCCCACACGGCUCCCAGCAGUGAGCGGGAGGCUCCAAGAGAAUCGGAUCCUAUUUCCAAAUCCCAGGGCAGACUGGUUUUGUUUUGUUUCUUAAGAAAAAAAAACAUUAAAUAAGUAAAAUAGUUGAACACUGUGUUAGAAAACUAACCCCAAACAUCUGGGGGUUUUGUGCUAUGGCAGCUUAUUUUCAUUCCAUUGGUUCUAACUGAUAAAUACAGAAUAAUUGAAUUAGUCUAUUUUGGGAGGCGGGAAACCACUGGUGUUAUGUAAAGAAAUGGCAAAGGCAGAGCACGAAGAAUUGGGGUGACACAGACGCUAUCUGAGCAUCUCACCAGAGUGAAGGGGUCAGAAUGGACUUCACAUUUACUCUCAUAAGCAUUAAUAUAGUGGUUACUGCUGUAUGUGGUAAAACAAGGGCUUUGCCCUCCAGGGAUUCAUGAUCCGCUAACAGUAAAUACAACUGUGAUGCCAGGACAAUGCAAUAAAGGCAAGCACCGUAGAGGUCCUUCAUGAUCGUGCCAAUCCUCUGACAUAGGUGCUGUCCCCCUAGUUUUAGACUGGGACAUGAAGAGUAAACACACAAUUGGGGGUUGAAGCCAAAUGAAUCUCUUUAGAUGGCAGAACCAUUGAUCCAGUCCAGGCAAGCUCCAGGCAGGUAGGCUUCAGCCACAAGAAAAACUUUAUCUCUCCUUGCUCUUUGGCUUUUGUUUAACUGUAAGAUCUCUCAGUUUUAUAAGCCAAGAUGCCACUACAUUGUGACACCAGAGGCAUAGUUGUUAGGUCUUGGAUUUUCAACAUCCAAAAUUAUGAGCUUAUAAAAUAGCCAGCAUUAGGCAUGUUGUCACAAAUACAGAAAAUGGAAACACACACCACACACACACACACACACACACACACACACACACACACACACACAAACACACACACACACACACACACCCUUGUCUUCUGAGUUUCUCUUAUGAAACUCCUCUUAACAAUACAAAGGAAAUGGGAGGGGGCUGCUGGAGAGAUUGCUCAGUGGUUAAGAGCACUGACUGUUCUUCCAGAGGUCCUGAGUUCAAUUCCCAGCAACCACAUGGUGGCUCACAACCAUCCGUUAUGAGAUCUGGUGCCCUCUUCUGGUGUGCAGAUAUACAUGGAAGCAGAGUGUUG
rnacentral:lncRNA from 1 species